UGGGUUCGGCGCACCGGCUGAACGCUCGGUCGGUCGCCUCGCUCGCGUCGCUAGGCACCCAGGCCCACCACCCACAAAGCUUAUCUCUCUAUCCCCACCGCUUUCAUCUUAUCCCCUCGUAGUCUCUGGAGACAACACGAAGACGUCUUCGUGCUGCUCGUCCUUGAAUCCCCUCGUCCACAAUCUCUCUUCCCUCUCCUUUGUGUGCUCUCUCCAGGAAUUCACACACAAUCCUCAUGAAAUUGAGCUUGUUUUUGUUGCUUCUCUACUCCCCGCAACAUUUCCACCAUAGAUCCAUGAGAGGGGAUGAGUUCGUUGGUGUCUUUUGUUUUUUCAUUCAUGGCCUGCGCAGUCGCCAUGGAUCCCACAAGGUUGAGCUCAAAUACAUGUGGGACACACACCCUCUCCUCCUGGGAAAGGAGGUUGAUGUUCUCUCUUGCCGUUCAUCUUUUGGAGCUGCUAGCAAUGGGCACGACGACCGCGCUGCUAGAUCAGGCACCGCUGCAUCACCAUGGUGCGCGACGGCGGCGACCGGCGCCUGCUGGGGAAGCGAUGUGGGAACCAGCACGCCUCGUAGCUGGAACCAGCAACUGGGAAGCUGCAACCGGCAUCCCCUGAUGCUGGAAGGUGGAAGCAGUGUCCCCUGAUGCUUGAACCGGAUGCGCCUUCACCACGCGAUGCGUUUUUGGCUGGAAGCAAUGUUUGUUUUUGUUAGACUAUGUAUAGCUUCUGUACCUAUGUACGUAUAUGGUACAUAUUGUAACACAACCAUUAUAUAUAAUGAGAUAAGCCACCCCUAAAGGGGUGUGCUGGUUUCCCAAAACUUAUUGUCUUACAUGGUAUCACGCUAGGUUACGAUCGCUUCCGCUUCUAAACCCUAAUACCCGCACCGCCGCCGCAGCCGCCGCCGCCUUCACCGCCGCCGCCGCGCCACCGAUCGCGCCGCCGCCAUGUUGAGCGCCGCCACCACCGGUUCCAUUGCUGCGGGCUUCCUCCCGGCCUCUCUUGCGGCUCUGCUCAACCUCCCGCUCGAUGUCGUCUCUGUUCCGGCUCCGAUCGGGACAAGGAGCAUCGGCUCCGUCUUCUCCACGCCGCCGGCGCCCUCGCUUGGGCGUGACCUCGUGGUCCACACCGCGGCGCCGCCGUCCGCUGCGGACUCCGCAGGCGUCGUCCCGCCGCUCCUGCCGCAAGCGGAUCACACUGCCCCGCUGGCGGGGUUGGCGGCGUCCGCCCCGGCCGCGGGCCUUGCGGCGUCCGCACCGGCCGCGAGCUUUGCGGCGCCCGCCCUGGCUGCGGUCCCGCCUCCUCCCGCAUCGGCUUCGGUGCCUCCGGCUGCCUCCAUGGUGUUUGCACCCCAGGCAGCCUCCUCGAUGGGAUUGUCUUCGCCGCCGCCGUUUCACUUCGGUCAUCUCAUCACCAUCAAGCUCUCCGCCGACAACUACAUCUUCUGGCGUGCGCAGGUUCUCCCGCUCUUGGGGAGUCACUACUUGCUAGGCUACGUCGACGGAUCGCUUCCCUGCCCACCCGCGCUAGUAGACAGCGUGCACGGUCCGGUCUACAAUCCGGCCCAUCGCGUCUGGACGGGGCAGGACCAGGCGAACCUCUCCUCCAUCCAGGGGUCGCUCUCGCCGGCAGUUGCCGGCCUUGUUGUCUUCGCGAAGACGUCUCAUGAGGCCUGGACCAUCCUUGAGCGCACCUUUGCAGCGCAGUCCCAGGCUCGUGUCUCUGCACUCCGUCGUCAGCUUGGAGAGUGUCAGAAGCUUGACUCCACUGCGACUGAGUUCUACAACAAGGUCAAGGGCCUCGCCGACACAUUGGCCUCCAUUGGACAGCCCCUCACCGACUCCGAGUUCAACUCGUUUAUUGUCAAUGGUCUUGAUGAGGAGUAUGAUGCCUUAGUCGAGAUCAUCAACGAGCGGGGCAACUCGACACCCAUGCUGGCACACGAGGUUUUCUCUCGGCUCCUUCUCACUGAGCAACGGGUCGAGACUCGCCGCACCAGGGGCACUGGCUCCCUCUCGGCCAACUCCGCCACCAAGGGUGGCCGCUCUUCUUCAUCACCCCGGUCUCCCUUGGGGCUGCCACCGUCGCCCGCCUCGGCCCCCCACCUACUGCGACCUUACCGGGGGCUGGCAGUCCACGUGUGUGUCAGCUUUGUGGCCGCGAUGGGCACUGGGCCUCCAAGUGUCAUAAGCGCUUCCAGCGAAGCUUCCUUGAUCUUGGCAAUGACGGCAAAGAUACACGCAACAAUGCCCGUCAGGUCGCCAUGGCUGAUCGUCCCGCGCCGCAGAAGCAACAGGGACACACUCAGUCCUACUCCAUCGAUCCACACUGGUACAUGGACUCUGGGGCGACAGAGCAUCUAACCAGCGAGAUGGGGAAGCUUCACACUCGUGAACCCUAUCAUGGCUCCGACAAGAUCCACACCGCCAAUGGAGCAGGUAUGCACAUCUCUCAUAUUGGUCAAGCAUCUCUUCUCACUAGACAUGCCAAUAGGAGUCUUCAGCUUCGCAAUGUUCUUCGAGUUCCAUCUGUGACCCGUAAUCUUCUUUCAGUUCCUAAACUCACACGUGAUAAUAAUGUGCUUUGUGAAUUUCACCCUUUUGAUCUUUUUAUUAAGGAUCGGGGCACGAGGGACAUUCUUCUUAGUGGGCGGUUGUGCCAGGGCCUCUACCGUCUGGAGCAUCCUGGUGUCGCUCGUGUUUUCAGUGGAAUUCGGGUCUCUCCGUCACAGUGGCAUGCUCGUCUUGGUCACCCGGCCACACCUAUUGUCCGUCAUAUUUUGCGUCGUCAUGAGCUUCCUAGUUUGUCUAGUCAUAAAGAUGUAGCAGUGUGUGAUGCUUGUCAGCAGGGGAAGAGUCAUCAACUUCCUUUUUCGGAGUCCAGUCGUGAGGUGAAACAUCCUUUAGAACUUGUGUUUUCAGAUGUAUGGGGUCCUGCUCAGACUUCUGUCAGUGGUCAUAAUUACUAUAUUAGUUUCGUUGAUGCUUAUAGUCGCUUUACCUGGCUUUACCUUAUUAAACGCAAAUCUGAUGUGUUUGAUAUUUUUGUUCAGUUUCAAAAACAUGUUGAACGUCUUCUCAAGCACAAAAUUGUUCAUGUCCAGUCAGACUGGGGGGGCGAGUAUCGCAACCUCAACUCUUUCUUUCAGUCGCUUGGGAUAGCUCAUCGUUUAGCAUGUCCACAUACACAUCAGCAGAAUGGUUCAGUCGAACGUAAGCAUCAUCAUAUUGUUGAAGCUGGUCUUACUCUUUUGGCCCAUGCAUCUGUUCCGUUUCGGUUUUGGAGUGAUGCUUUCACCACUGCAUGCUUUCUCAUCAACCGUACUCCUACUCGUGUUUUAAACAUGAAGACUCCCAUUGAGGUUCUCCUUAAUGAACAACCUGAUUAUACCUUUCUCAAGGUAUUUGGGUGUGCUUGUUGGCCGCAUCUUCGUCCAUAUAACAAGCGCAAGCUUGAGUUUCGUUCUAAGAAGUGUGUUUUUCUUGGCUAUAGCUCUCUUCAUAAAGGUUACAAAUGUCUUCAUGUUCCCACUAAUCGUGUCUAUAUAUCUCGGGACGUCGUGUUUGAUGAGCAUGUUUUUCCCUUUGCCAACCUUCCUGUGUCCACUGUCGAACCACCAUCCCUGCAUUCAUCCUCUGUUGCUUCUGACCAAUUUGAUGAUGUUGCAUACUCUCCUUUGCUGUUACCUAACCAUGGUGCAGGAACCGGACGUGGAGCUCGUUUGGAGCUGUUGGAGGAUUCACCAUCAUCAUCGUCGUCUUCUGGUGGGCACGUCGAUCGCCCUAUGUUGCAUGGCAUCGAUUCGCGUGCCCAUGCAUGGUCACCCGACGAGCCCGUCGCGCCGAGCAUCUCCACUGCUUGGUCCGUUUCGCCAGCGGUCGCCGAGUCGCCUGCGGCUCGGCCCGUCACGCCGUCUUCGCCCGCGGCUCGGGUCCUCACGUCGCCUUCAUCAGCGGAUCGGCCCGCGACACCGGCCGCGCCACGGCCCACUAUGCCGAGCUCGCCAUCGGCCCGGUCUGUGAUGUUGGAGUUGCCAGCUGCUUCGUCUGCUCUGCCGGUUUCGCCGGUGGGUCGGCCUUCUUCGCCAACCGAGUCCGAGGCUACCGUGACUGGCUCCUUGUCACCGGCUGACUCGUCAACAUCGCCGUCCUCCAGCCCGUUGCAGGCUGCUCCGUCGACCUCGGUGGUUCCUGUGUCCCGACCACAUACACGCAGUCGCAGUGGCAUUUUCAAACCUCAGGAACGUAAGGAUGGUACGGUUGCUUGGUUGGCUGCUUGUUUGGCUGCUGCUGUUGCGGAUCCAUCUUCUGAGCCUCGCUCAUAUCAGGCUGCCCUGCGCAUUCCACAUUGGCGAGAGGCUAUGGAGCAGGAGUUUCAUGCUCUUCUUCGUAACAAGACAUGGACUCUCGUUCCUCCACCACCACGGGUAAAUGUUAUUGACUCAAAAUGGGUAUUCAAAGUGAAGAAGCAUUCGGAUGGAUCUAUUGAGCGUUACAAAGCGCGACUUGUUGCUCGCGGUUUUCGGCAGCGUCAUGGUCUUUACUAUGAGGACACCUUCAGUCCUGUCGUCAAGCCUACCACUAUUCGGCUUCUUCUCUCCAUUGCUGUUUCUCGUGGUUGGUCACUUCGUCAACUUGAUGUGCAGAAUGCUUUUCUACAUGGAUUUUUGGAGGAAGAGGUUUAUAUGAAACAACCGCCUGGUUUCUCUGAUCCUGAUCGUCCUGACUAUAUCUGUCGUCUUUCCAAAGCACUAUAUGGUUUGAAGCAAGCUCCUCGUGCCUGGCAUGCCCGCCUUGCCUCUGCCCUUCGUGCUCAUGGGUUUGUGCCGUCUACUGCUGACACUUCGUUAUUUCUUCUACAGAAGCCAGAAGUCACUAUGUAUCUUUUGGUAUAUGUCGAUGAUAUUAUCCUUGUCAGCUCUUCUCAGUAUGCUGUUGAUGCUCUUGUCUACUCUCUUGGUGCUGAUUUUGCGGUCAAAGAUCUUGGGAAGCUUCACUACUUUCUUGGAGUUGAGGUCACUUCUUGUGCUACUGGUCUUGUCCUUACGCAGAAGAAGUACUCCUUGGAGUUGUUACAGAGAGCUGGCAUGCUGAAGUGCAAACCGACCACCACACCCAUGUCGUCUACCGACAAGAUAACAGCUGUUGAUGGUGAGCUUUUGUCUCCUGCGGAUGCCACAGAGUACAGGAGCAUUGUUGGUGGACUUCAGUACUUGACGAUCAUGAGACCAGAUAUCUCUUAUGCUGUUAACAGGGUUUGUCAGUAUCUUCAGGCUCCCAGAGAUACUCAUUGGGCUGCUGUUAAAUGCAUUCUUCGUUAUGUUCAGUUCACCCUGACAUUUGGUAUGCAUAUUCGGCCGACUUCCUCUCGGGUCCUUUCGGCCUUCUCUGAUGCAGAUUGGGCUGGUAGCCCAGAUGACAGGCGAUCCACGGGGGGUUAUGCAGUAUUCUUUGGCUCUAAUUUGAUCGCCUGCAGUGCUCGGAAACAGGCUACUGUGUCACGUAGCAGUACUGAAGCUGAGUACAAGGCUGUGGCUAAUGCUACUGCAGAGAUUAUUUGGGUGCAGUCUUUGCUUCAGGAGUUGGGUUUGUCUCAACCACAGCCUCCUAUUCUUUGGUGUGAUAACAUCGGUGCUACAUACCUUUCUGCAAAUCUAGUAUUUCAUGCCCGAAUGAAACACAUUGAAGUUGACUAUCACUUUGUACGGGAACGUGUAUCACAGAAGCAACUCCAGAUCAAGUUUAUCUCAUCUAAGGAUCAACUUGCAGACAUCUUCACUAAGCCUUUACCGCUGCCACAGUUUGAGGCUUGAAGGCGCAAUCUUACCCUUCUCAGUUCUUUAGAAAGUGGCUAAGAUUGAGGGAGGGUGUUAGACUAUGUAUAGCUUCUGUACCUAUGUACGUAUAUGGUACAUAUUGUAACACAACCAUUAUAUAUAAUGAGAUAAGC
rnacentral:lncRNA from 1 species